GGCCCCUUUUUUUUUUUUUUUAAAUUUUUAAAAAAUUUUUUAAAAGGGGGCCCCAAAAAACCCCCUUUUUUUAAGGAAAAAAGGGGCCCCCCCCUUUUAAAAUUUUAAAACCCCCUUUUUUUCCAUUAAAAAAGGGGAAAA